rnacentral:rRNA from 1 species
UACAGAGGGGGCAAGCGUUAUUCGGAAUUAUUGGGCGUAAAGGGCGCGUAGGCGGCUUCGCAAGUGACGGGUGAAAUCCCUCGGCUUAACCGAGGAACUGCCUGUCAAACUGCGUGGCUUGAGACCAGGAGAGGUGAGUGGAAUUCCCAGUGUAGCGGUGAAAUGCGUAGAUAUUGGGAGGAACACCAGUGGCGAAGGCGGCUCACUGGACCGGAACUGACGCUGAGGCGCGAAAGCGUGGGGAGCAAACAGG